rnacentral:tRNA from 2 species
CCGACUUAGCUCAGCAGGCAGAGCAACUGACUUGUAAUCAGUAGGUCACCAGUUCGAUUCCGGUAGUCGG